rnacentral:lncRNA from 1 species
UUUGACAGGAACUGGAUUUUUUGGUGCCUGAACACUUGAAAAUCUGACCUCAGGAGGCUUCUCAAGAACACUAAGCUUUUCCCACAGAACAGGUGAAAGAAAUUCACUUCAUUGUCAUGGAUCAACCUGACAGCAUCCUAGACAGGUGACUGCUGAUCUCAUUGAAUGUGGAAGUUAACAAGAAGACAGCAAAGGCAAAUAACAGACUUGCUUCAGAUUAAAGCUCCAUUUGGCUUUGGCAUUUUGGCAGCUUUCAGAGCGUGAGACCAUUCAUCCUGGUUUGAUCCUCAUUUCAACUCCAUAUUUUUUCUUUCUUC